CUGGUAGUUCAGUUGGUUAGAACGCUAGCCUGUCACGCUAGAGGUCGUGGGUUCGACCCCCAUCC
rnacentral:tRNA from 2 species